GACGAACGCUGGCGGCGUGCUUAACACAUGCAAGUCGAACGCUGAAGCUCAGCUUUUGUUGGGUGGAUGAGUGGCGAACGGGUGAGUAACACGUGAGUAACCUGCCCCCUUCUUUGGGAUAACGCCCGGAAACGGGUGCUAAUACUGGAUAUUCACUGGUCUUCGCAUGGAGGUUGGUGGAAAGGGUUUUUCUGGUGGGGGAUGGGCUCGCGGCCUAUCAGCUUGUUGGUGGGGUGAUGGCCUACCAAGGCUUUGACGGGUAGCCGGCCUGAGAGGGUGACCGGUCACAUUGGGACUGAGAUACGGCCCAGACUCCUACGGGAGGCAGCAGUGGGGAAUAUUGCACAAUGGGCGCAAGCCUGAUGCAGCGACGCCGCGUGAGGGAUGGAGGCCUUCGGGUUGUGAACCUCUUUCGCUCAUGGUCAAGCCGCAACAAUGGUUGUGGUGAGGGUAGUGGGUAAAGAAGCGCCGGCUAACUACGUG
rnacentral:rRNA from 1 species